GCGCGAGUGGUGGAAUUGGUAGACACGCAGGAUUUAGGUUCCUGUGCCUUCGGGCGUGGGGGUUCAAGUCCCCCCUUGCGCA
rnacentral:tRNA from 1 species